rnacentral:rRNA from 1 species
AAACCGUUCAGGGGUAAACCUGAGAAACCCAAAAGAUCGAAUGGGGAGAUUCAUCGUCAGCUCAUUUUGUAUAUAUAUGAGUUAUGAUAUGGGUUACUACUUGUAGUAUUGCCUGUACAUUCUUUUAUAUUUUAUUGCAAGAUGUUGUCGGCGUGCACUUCUCCCCUAGUAGGACGUCGCGACCCGUUGAGUGUCGGUCUACGGCCCGAGUGGUAGCCUUUAAUUCUUGUAAUUAAAGACCCUUGGUGUUUCCUGACUGACUGCUCGGCGGUAUUCGUACGGUAUUAAGCCGCAUUUAUGCGUUCAUAUCCGUCGCAAGCCCGGUCAAUUUUUAGUAGUACGGACCUAGUGCCGUCGCUAUAAUUGAUCAGCUGUUGGUUGUACGGUAUUCUAGAACUGGCUUAACAUAUACCGGUCUGCGAUGCUACUGCUUUGGGUACUUUCAGGA